rnacentral:rRNA from 1 species
UAAGCAUAUAAGUAAGCGGAGGAUAAGAAACUAAAUAGGAUUCCCUCAGUAAUGGCGAAUGAACAGGGAUAAGCUCAGCAUGGAAAUCGGUGUCUCUGGCAUUGAAUUGUAGUCUCGAGAUGUACUGCCAACGGAGGCGCAGAUGUAAGCCUCUUGGAAAAGAGCAUCAACGAGGGUGAGAGUCCCGUUUGUCAUCUGCAGUCCCCCGUGCACGGCGUACUUCUAAAGAGUCACGUUCCUCGGAAAUGGAGCGCAAAGUGGGUGGUAAAUUUCAUCUAAAGCUAAAUAUAGGUUCGAGACCGAUAGCAAACAAGUACCAUGAGGGAAAGGUGAAAAGGACUUUGAAAAGAGAGUUAAAAGUGCCUGAAAUUGCUGAAAGGGAAGCGAAUGGAACCAGUGUUUCUUGGCAAGAUUGGUGCGUGCUAUUGGGAUUGCCUGCUGCUUCAGCGCAAGCGUGGUAGUGGGUUUUGAUCAUGACGUGCGUGUUGUUUCUUGCCUUGUGUGUCAACGUCAGUUCUCAAUCGAGGAAAACGCCUUGGACAUGGUAACCCGUCUCCGGGUGGGUGAAUGUGCUUGGUUGAACUCAUUUGUGAACUGGUUCUUGCGUGUCUGGUUGCAGUGCUCUGUGUCCUCGCACCCCUGUGGGGGGUCUCGACCUUCUGCGGGUGGGGUGGGCGACCGGUGUAUCUCCCUGACACAACGACGCUGACUAAAUGGUUCUAUUCGACCCGUCUUGAAACAC